GGCAACUUGAGCUCUCUUAAUCAUAAAAACAAACAAACCCUAGUCUCUUGCUGCCUUAUAGUUCAUGAUUCAAGGUUCAAGCCAUGCCUCCACUUGUUGCCGUGCGAAUUAUCUGAAACAAAGCUGGAUCCGAUCACAACAAAUAUGAAGAAACCGAGCACGAUGGGUCCCACAGGAUAAGAAUCCUUUUUCUUUGUUGCCGUUUCAGGAACGGUGCCGCGCUUCUUGAUGUUCUUCU
rnacentral:lncRNA from 1 species